rnacentral:rRNA from 1 species
GAUGAACGCUGGCGGCGUGCCUAAUACAUGCAAGUCGAGCGAACGGACGAGAAGCUUGCUUCUCUGAUGUUAGCGGCGGACGGGUGAGUAACACGUGGAUAACCUACCUAUAAGACUGGGAUAACUUCGGGAAACCGGAGCUAAUACCGGAUAAUAUUUUGAACCGCAUGGUUCAAAAGUGAAAGACGGUCUUGCUGUCACUUAUAGAUGGAUCCGCGCUGCAUUAGCUAGUUGGUAAGGUAACGGCUUACCAAGGCAACGAUGCAUAGCCGACCUGAGAGGGUGAUCGGCCACACUGGAACUGAGACACGGUCCAGACUCCUACGGGAGGCAGCAGUAGGGAAUCUUCCGCAAUGGGCGAAAGCCUGACGGAGCAACGCCGCGUGAGUGAUGAAGGUCUUCGGAUCGUAAAACUCUGUUAUUAGGGAAGAACAUAUGUGUAAGUAACUGUGCACAUCUUGACGGUACCUAAUCAGAAAGCCACGGCUAACUACGUGCCAGCAGCCGCGGUAAUACGUAGGUGGCAAGCGUUAUCCGGAAUUAUUGGGCGUAAAGCGCGCGUAGGCGGUUUUUUAAGUCUGAUGUGAAAGUCCACGGCUCAACCGUGGAGGGUCAUUGGAAACUGGAAAACUUGAGUGCAGAAGAGGAAAGUGGAAUUCCAUGUGUAGCGGUGAAAUGCGCAGAGAUAUGGAGGAACACCAGUGGCGAAGGCGACUUUCUGGUCUGUAACUGACGCUGAUGUGCGAAAGCGUGGGGAUCAAACAGGAUUAGAUACCCUGGUAGUCCACGCCGUAAACGAUGAGUGCUAAGUGUUAGGGGGUUUCCGCCCCUUAGUGCUGCAGCUAACGCAUUAAGCACUCCGCCUGGGGAGUACGACCGCAAGGUUGAAACUCAAAGGAAUUGACGGGGACCCGCACAAGCGGUGGAGCAUGUGGUUUAAUUCGAAGCAACGCGAAGAACCUUACCAAAUCUUGACAUCCUUUGACAACUCUAGAGAUAGAGCUUUCCCCUUCGGGGGACAAAGUGACAGGUGGUGCAUGGUUGUCGUCAGCUCGUGUCGUGAGAUGUUGGGUUAAGUCCCGCAACGAGCGCAACCCUUAAGCUUAGUUGCCAUCAUUAAGUUGGGCACUCUAAGUUGACUGCCGGUGACAAACCGGAGGAAGGUGGGGAUGACGUCAAAUCAUCAUGCCCCUUAUGAUUUGGGCUACACACGUGCUACAAUGGACAAUACAAAGGGCAGCGAAACCGUGAGGUCAAGCAAAUCCCAUAAAGUUGUUCUCAGUUCGGAUUGUAGUCUGCAACUCGACUACAUGAAGCUGGAAUCGCUAGUAAUCGUAGAUCAGCAUGCUACGGUGAAUACGUUCCCGGGUCU